GCAUGGUCUGGGCUAGGAUGGAUGAGAAACUUUCAGACUUUCAGGAUGUUGGCAGCCCGGAUGCCCAAUAAUACUACCUACACGCCUGCAUAGUAAAGAGUGCUACUAGGUAUACACCUCCAUCACAGAAUGGUUCCAAUGCUGGAACCACUCUACCGACUACGUGCCCCAUUAGCCUAGUGGACAUCUAUUCUCUGAAUGGAGAAUAAGAGCUUCAUUUGAGACGGGAAAUUCCAAGUUUUAGUUAAUCGUGGUUCCAAAGAAGUGGGACUAUAACCACCGAAACUAUUUUUCAAUUGCUGCUUCGUCAUAUUGAGAUCCAAGUCCCCUCUCAAGUCAUCCACACCAUAUUCCACCUCUACACUAUUAUAAAAGAACGCUCAUUGUUAUCUCCUAUGUUGUUGAAUUUAAAAUUGAUCCCAUAUCAGAUGGCAAAAUGCCCGAUGUAAAUAUAUUUUCAAUCAAGAGGAAACCUAGCGUAUGCAAGUCUGUGACACUAUCACUAAUCAUGUCUUACAUCCAUUCUUUACGAUUGACAGCUCAUCUAAUCCGGACAUAUAAUCAAGUCUACAAACCAUUCAGAGUUAGCUUAAAUAUGCCACUGCCACUAUGACACCCAUAUAUUUAAUACAUUCGUACCUGUUCAUCGAUUCAUCUCCCCAACAUCUAACGCAACCAAAAACCUACUCACACAAUUAUACGCCCCAACUGUAGCCGUGAUCUCAACCACCUCCUUCUCACUGAAAUGCCUCCUCAACUCCUCAAACACCUCGUCGGACACCUUAACGAUUCUUGUCAUUUCCUCCGUGUACUUGUAAACAGCAAUUUGUUUCGGGGACAUCAGCGCCGCCAAUUCGGUGUCAGUCGCUGGGUUUUCCGCUCCGCGCUCCACAAGUUUUAGUGCAUCCUCAGAGAAGCCGGCCUGUGUUAAUAUGGGAGCAUGACCCUUCCACUCAAACCAAGCUUCGUUCAUAGCGGCAACGCGACAUAUUGCGAUCUCGCGAAUGUCUGCGGGAAGAGAGGUUUUGGUGCGGAUAGAACCCAGAAAUGAAUUCCAGCCAUCGGCAAUGGGGAAUGAAUGAAGAAGCGCUAGGUCAAGGGGGAGGAGGCCCCGUUGUCCCCGCCUGGCUUGUACGCGCUGGAGGAUGCUUUCGUCCUCUUCGUUCGAUGUUGCGGGGGGGUUAGAAACAUAUGAGAGGCGCAUGUUGACGAUUACGGGGUGUAGGGGUAUUGAAUGUGCGGGGACCGAUGGGAUCAAUGUGAUAUUUUUAAAUCGUGAUCUUAGAAAAGCGAAGGAAUAUCAAUGAACAUCAGAGUACUAGUAUUAUAAAACCCUGGAAGUACACGAUAAUUCGGUACGCCAUUCUGCACGCAACUUUUGAUAACUGGUCAUGGAAUAAAAUCCUAGAUAAUAAGGCCUUUGCUAAUUACCCCGCCGGGAUCUUCCGGUUCGUCUUCAGUCAUCGAAAGUUCAUCUUAUCAACAACGCGCAACAUGGCAACAGCGUGUAUAAUUUAUAUCCAUUUUAUAUGCCACUGCAAUUCAUGAACCU
rnacentral:sRNA from 1 species